rnacentral:rRNA from 1 species
UUCCGGUUGAUCCUGCCGGACCCCACUGCUAUCGAGGUGGGACUAAGCCAUGCUAGUUGAGCGCACGGAACUAUGUCUGUGAGCGGCACACUGCUCAGUAACACGUAGCUAACCUACCCUUAGGACGUGGACAACCCCGAGAAAUUGGGGCUAAUCCGCGAUAGAUGUAUUGUCCUGGAAUGGUAUUACGUCUAAAGGUAUUCCAUACAUGUUUGGUAUAUGCCUAAGGAUGGGGCUGCGGCCGAUCAGGCUGUUGGUGAGGUAAUGGCUCACCAAACCUUUGACCGGUACGGGCCAUGAGAGUGGUAGCCCGGAGAUGGACACUGAGACAAGGGUCCAGGCCCUACGGGGCGCAGCAGGCGCGAAACCUCCUCAAUGCACUUACGUGCGAAGGGGCUACCUCGAGUGCCAUCUGAUGAAGGUGGCUUUUCCUAGGUCUAAAAAGCCUUGGGAAUAAGAGGGGGGCAAGACUGGUGUCAGCCGCCGCGGUAACACCAGCCCCUCGAGUGGUGGGGAUGAUUAUUGGGCCUAAAGCGUCCGUAGCCUGCCGUAUAAGUUUCCCGUUAAAUCCAGCGUCUCAAGCGUUGGACCGCGGGAAAUACUGUACGGCUAGAGAGUGGGAGAGGUCAGCGGUAUUCUGGGGGUAGGGGCGAAAUCCUUUGAUCCCCGGAGGACCACCAGUGGCGAAGGCUGCUGUCUAGAACACGUCUGACGGUCAGGGACGAAAGCUGGGGUAGCGAACCGGAUUAGAUACCCGGGUAGUCCCAGCCGUAAACGAUGCAUGCUACGUGUUGGGUUGGCCACGAGCCACCCCAGUGCCGCAGGGAAGCCGUUAAGCAUGCCGCCUGGGAAGUACGAUCGCAAGGUUGAAACUUAAAGGAAUUGGCGGGGGAGCACCACC